rnacentral:rRNA from 1 species
CGUCAGGAUGAACGCUAGCGACAGGCUAACACAUGCAAGUCGAGGGGCAGCAUAAAAGUAGCAAUACUUGGUGGCGACCGGCGCACGGGUGAGUAACGCGUAUGCAACCUACCUAUCAGAGGGGAAUAACCCGGCGAAAGUCGGACUAAUACCGCAUAAAACAGGGGCACCGCAUGGUGAUAUUUGUUAAAGAAAUUCGCUGAUAGAUGGGCAUGCGUUCCAUUAGGUAGUUGGUGAGGUAACGGCUCACCAAGCCGACGAUGGAUAGGGGAACUGAGAGGUUGGUCCCCCACACUGGUACUGAGACACGGACCAGACUCCUACGGGAGGCAGCAGUGAGGAAUAUUGGUCAAUGGGCGAGAGCCUGAACCAGCCAAGUCGCGUGAAGGAAGAAGGAUCUAUGGUUCGUAAACUUCUUUUGCAGGGGAAUAAAGUGCAGGACGUGUCCUGUUUUGUAUGUACCCUGAGAAUAAGGAUCGGCUAACUCCGUGCCAGCCGCUGC